rnacentral:rRNA from 1 species
GAGACUCUGUGCGCGUGCAUAUCAAUAAGCGGAGGAAAAGAAACUAACUAGGAUUCCCCUAGUAACGGCGAGUGAAGCGGGAAGAGCUCAAAUUUGAAAUCUUCAAGGGUUUCCCUUGACGAAUUGUAGUUUAAAGAAGUGUUUUCUGUUAGAGAGGUGGUAAAAGUUCUUUGGAAUAGGACAUCAUAGAGGGUGAGAAUCCCGUAUUUGAUCACUUUCUACUAACGUUGUGAUACACUUUCAAAGAGUCGGAUUGUUUGGGAAUGCAGUCCAAAAUGGGUGGUAAAUUUCAUCUGAAGCUAAAUAUUGGCGAGAGACCGAUAGCGAACAAGUACCGUGAGGGAAAGAUGAAAAGAACUUUGAAAAGAGAGUUAAACAGUACGUGAAAUUGUCAAAAGGGAAGCGUUUGACACCAGUGUUGUUUUUCCGAAAAUCAAUUACGAAUGUUUUGUUUUUGAGAGAGUUAUGACUUCAUCGGCUUGCUUCUUUCUUUACGAAACUUUCUUAAUGCACUUUUCGGUUAACAAGUCAACAUCAAUUUCUUUUGUUGUAAAAGGGUAUGAGGAAGGUGGCUUUCUUUUCGGAGAAAGUGUUUAUAGCCUUGUGCCUCUGCAAUCGGAGAGAUUGAGGUCUGCAGCGUAGAUCCUUCGGGGUUAGAUAGCAUUUGUGCUAAGUUAUAGCUUUCAUAGACAACUUGUUGACUAUGAUUAGUCAUUGUAGCUUACUCGCUUACUGCUAUUUUACCUACGCUUAGGAUGUUGAUCUGUAGUGCGUGCGC